rnacentral:tRNA from 1 species
UGGGGUAUAGCCAAGUUGGUAAGGCAGUGGUUUUUGGAUCCACCAUUCGUAGGUUCGAGUCCUGCUACCC